CCCCGUAAAUAAAAUAACCAAAACGAUACCCAACUAAACCAAGCAUGCAGGGCUAAAAGCAGAAAACCACAAGCAUUUUUCUUUAUUUAAUAUUUAUUGAUUAUUCAUUCAUAUUAGGCAGUAUUACAGUGAUGUUAGUAUAUUAGUGUCGGUACGUUUUAUAUACACAAAAAAUGUUGUUUUUUUGAUAAUUUUUGACAUUUAAUUUUGAUUAAUGAUGUUUUUGUUACUAAAUUUUGAUGUACAACUGUAACUAACACAAUUUUAUAUAAGUACAGAUCGAUAUGGGUCCGUGAAGGCUAAGUACACUAGUGAUAGAUAAUUAUGUUCUUAAUUAUAUAAUGUUACGCUUGUUACACAAAAUACGAGGUCGGGGGCGAUCCUUUCCCGUGAUAUUAAACGAUAAUACAAUAUGAUUUGCUGAACAAAGGGCCACAAGGAAGCGUGAACAAUUCCAUCUAAAAGCGAUAUAUCUUUUUUCAACUUUAAACCUAAAACACUAGACGGUACAAACUGAAUUCGUUUGUCAAAACAAAUGACACAGCGUUAAGGCAAUGCUCCAUCUAGUCACCGGCAGCUGUAGUACAAACACUGAGUUAUUUAUCAUCACAAACGUGAAGCGAUGCAUAGCGGUGCUCGUCAUAUACAACUUUCAACACGCGAACUGAACUUUAUAUAAUUUUAUAAGCUGCUUCGAGCUUUCGAUGGUGGACAUUUCAGCACGUUCAUUUCUUAAUAACUAUAAACAUCAAAAGCCGAUUUCAUUAAGCGUUUCAUAAUUUUAUUACUAGUUUUUGAUAUUAUAAUUUUGAUUAAAUGUACUUAUUACUAUCCCUUUGAAAGUUGAAUAAUCCAAGUUCAUGUUGUAAAAAAAAUAUAUAUAUAAAAAUAAAAAUAAGAAAAUCAAUGUUGGCCCCUGUACCUAAAAUAAAUGGAAUUCAAAUACGAAAAUCGAGUUUGCUAUUGACAUUGACACUGAUCGGAAUAAAUAAUGUUUACCAAGAUACAUUCGAUUCCAAAUUGAUUUUAAAUCAUAUAGAUAAAUCCUAUUCAUCAGAUAUGUACGAACAUCUGUAUAGAUAAUUGAGAGUAACUACAUACUACAAUAGAUGAUUAUAAGUAUAAUUAGUUAGAAAGACAGACAUUCAGAGAUUGAGAUUUUAAUGAAGAUUCGAUUUGUUACAUGGACGCCUAAACCUAAAAUCGAAUACAGCAUUAGUUCAAUAUGCGCCAGGUAACAUGUAGGUACAAUCAUUUAUUAUUCCAUGAAACUUCGAUUGCAUCAAGCCUCCUUCUACUGUAUCUAGUAAUGUAUCGUAUCAGCAAAUAGUAAAUAUUAACUUCGUUUUAUAUAACGUUACCUGGCGUGUAUUUUAACCUAACAUGAAUAUAUAGCCUUAUCCUAACAUGCAAUACACACUAAUCCAUUUCUUUUUCUCGUCUUAUUAGUAUCUUUAUGAACUUUUCAUUCCAUCAUAUCCAGUCUUCUUCGAUUCCUAAUUAACAUCUAAUCGAACGCGUCAAAAUAUUCUCACUGAUGAUGAUCUUGAUGAUAUUCACACCGCGUAAGUGAGAAAUAGUAGAUGUUCCAUUCUGAAUAUCUAACAAGAGUCACAAGUUUUCGCUUAUAUUCGUCUUUACACGUUGAACGUUUUUUUUUUGGAUAGUGAAGCAGUUUCGCGAAACUCGUGCUAAUCCAUAUCUAUAUAUUAAUAGUAAAUCAAUAACUAUCCCGCGUGGUGUGAUGAAAACAUGAUCAUUACAUACUCGAGUAUUGGCUCAAAAAAUGGAUUAAUAAAAGUGCUGAAAAAACUACAUUAUAUUUCUAAAACUGUUUCGAUUAAAUAUGAGUUUAAUAUAAGUGAAUAUGCAUACUGGUAAUUGAGAGUCGGUAAUUAAUUACGUCUCAUACGCGGAUCGUACAGAAACUCUGACUCUGUUACGUCAUCAGUUUCGGGUAUAGACGGGUGAUCGAGCUCAUGGCUCACAUGGUUUUAAGUGGUUGCCGCCGCUACCCACCUUGAGACAUGAGGUCUCAGUCUCUGUAUAGUUUGACGGGUGUUCCUUCGAAUGGAAACGCAUUACUGCAUCGCCACCGUAACCGGCAUGGCGGUGAUAACUACUUGGGCUGGCUCACAAGAUCACCAAUAAUACCACUUCUUUUUUUAAUUGUGCUUGUUUGAUUUUUAUUACGCGAUGUUUCUCUUUCAUAGUAAGUUAAUCCGUGAACGUAUUGAGUUUCAGAGAAAUAUGCGAUCGGUAUUAAUCUCAAAUGUCUUCUCUCUCGAUAAUACCUAACGAUACUGAGUAAGCUCCCACAAGAUUCACUGAGACAACGAGAGAUAUCAGAACAGCCGAUAAAUGAUCGCGUCUCAAUAUAUAAUCUCAGACGGCGUACAUAAAGCUACUUAUUUUUGUUCACAGUUUGCCAAAUUCCGUAGUAUAUAUAUCUCGUGGAAGCGAUUAUGACAUCGGCAGUGUAAUCUCGGCAUUCUAUUCGCUGGAAAAAUUCCAUCUAUUGGAUCGUGACGUCACACAUACUUCGUGACGUCGAAGCGAGCACGCGUGACAUUACAACAAUGUCUGACGUCACUGAGCCGAUGCCGGUCUCGCUUGGCCGGGUGCCGUAUAGCAGCGCGUUCUUAUUUAGAUCGGCACAACGAACCGAUUAAUUCUCACACAUACAUACAAUUAUAAUUCAAACGUCAUCGGCACGAACGUUCAACAAACGUAACAACAUCAUCAUUAACAACAUAUUUAACAAAUAUAAUAUUAUAAUAUA